AUGCAAGUCAAUGGUCAAACCAUCCAUACACUACGCAAACAACGGCAUGAUUCGUUGUUAGCACCUACACUGCAUCUUGUUGCCACGUGCAUCUCCGGUCGCGCCAGCGCUGCUGUGGCUUGCUGCCUCCCAGUCAAAAUCCCGUAUGGCCGCGCCCGCGCCGUUGCGGAUUGCCGCGUCCCCACCCGGGCUCUUCCCCAGCAUCUCGCAGCACGAGCCAAGCCCCGCUGCUCCCGACUCUGUCCCGACCUGCUUUCGCGCGUCCCGGGUCCAGGAUGCCGCCGCGUCCGUGCGCCCUCUCCUCCGGCCCGGGCCCCGUGCAGCUGCGCCCGUGAGGUCGGCUCUGUCCUGCCGGCCGUCCGCAUCCUCGCCUGCCGCCCACGCGCCCGGGCCGGGUCGCCGUUCCGGCCGGCUCCCGCGCGCCUGUCAGCCGCCUCGCCGCGUCACGCCGCUCCUCCUUGCCCGAGCUGCUGCCGCCCUUGGGCCCGGUCUCCCGCAGCCGCUGGCGGCCAACUCCAUCCUGCCCGGGCCGCUAUGCACCCUGCACCAUCCCUCGCGCGGCGUGGCUCAGCGCCGCGCCGCCUCCCGCCAACCACCACGCCUCGCGGGCUUCGACUGCCGGCUGUGCCAUUCCCCGCCUGCUCUCAGCGUCGACAGCUCCACCCUCGCCAGUUGGCUCCGGGCCCCCGCCGGGUCGCCGCCACCCGCGGCCGGGUGCUCCGCACCGGCCGGCUCCGGGAUCCCGCGCCGCUGUCCGCAUCCCAUGCGCGUGGCCCCGACCACACCGCGCACCCACAGCCGGCUACACCUUGCCAGGCCGGCUCCCCCAGUGUCGGGUCCUUCUCUCCUUGCCGCCUGGCCCGAUCGCCGCCUCGCCACCUCCCGCUGGCCCAGGCCGCCUCCUGCCCGGGCCCGCGUGCCUCCUGCAUACAUCGGCCGCUCUUCUCCCACUCCGGCCAUGCUGCCGCGUCGCCCGCUACGCCGGCUGUGGCUCCUCGCCGCCUUCCCGCGUCGGCUCGGCCACGCGCGUCCACGUCUGACUCCGCCCGAGGCCGCCUGCACCUCCGCGCGUCGUGCCGGCUCCCCUGCCGCGCCUCUGGCCGGCCGGGUCGCGCGCCUCCGCUGCCGGCUCCCGGGUCGGGCGCCGUGUCCGGCUGUGCCACACGUGCCCCCGCUGGGUCCCGCUCCAGCCGCCUGUUGUGGCCGGUGCCUGAAGAAGAAAAACCACUCCGACUGGAAAAGUCAGAGGCCGGCUCCAAAACAAAGGGUGGAGUCCGGCUGCUCGCGUGGAGUCGGAUUAAAGAAAAAGAAAGAAAGAAGAAAGACCUGGCUAGAGGGAAAGAAGAAGAGUCCGGCUGCUAUGGCAGGCUGAAAAAAGAGAACGCCGCGUCCGGCUGGAAGAAAAGAGAUGCCGGGUGCUAG
rnacentral:rRNA from 1 species